AUGGAGUUAGAUGUUGGAUCAUUUAUGUCAAAACCCACUAUACAGCAGUUUGAUGCAUUUCGAAAAAAAGAUCUAAUACAGAUUGCUGAAAUUUUGAAGGUUUCUGUAGUAAGUUCUGCACCUAAGCAGGUAGUUAAAGCUGAAGUUUAUGCUAAACUGGUUGAGCAAGGUUUUUUGUCUGCUGAUGGUGAAAUUGAGAAGAGUGUGUGUGAGACUGCUGAAACUGAUCUGACAUCUCAAUCAGAUCCGUUGCUCUUAUUAAAAGUAAAAGAAGUGGAGUUACAGAUAAAGCGGCAAGAACAUGAGAAUCGUAUGUUGCAUUUACGUGAGUUAGAGAUGGUGCAUAAGGAAAAGGAAAGAGAGCGUGCGUUUACUGCUAGUCCAUCUGUCGUAACUCCAGUGCAUGCAAGCAUGCCUUCACCUGUUCAGCCUGCUGCUGUUAAUUUGUUUGAUCCCAGUAAGUACAUUAAACUUGUGCCUCCUUUUCGAGAAUCAGAAGCAGAUGCUUAUUUCAUCGCAUUUGAGCGUAUUGCUGCUAAACUUAACUGGCCGAAAGAUAUGUGGGGGUUAAUGUUACAAUGCAGUUUAGUUGGUAAAGCUCAAGAAGUGUGUUCUGCUUUGCCUAUCGAGGAGUCUCUUAAUUAUGAUUUGGUGAAAGCUGCUGUUUUGCGGGUUUAUGAACUUGUACCUGAAGCAUACAGGCAAAAGUUUCGUAACUAUACUAAAUCGGCUAAACAAACGUUUGUGCAGUUUGCACGCGAUAAGAGAGCUCUGUUAGAAAAGUGGUGCGCUGCUUCGAAAACGACUACGUUUGAGCAAUUUCAAGAACUGAUUCUGUUGGAGGACUUUAAAAAUUGUUUUUCAGACAAUUUAGUGAUUUACCUAAAUGAGCAAAAGGUUAAGUCCCUUUCAGAAGCUGCAGUAUUGGCGGAUGAAUAUAUUUUGACACAUAAGACUGUAUUUUCUUCUGCGGUUGGCCUGAAUCAUGGUACUUCAAUGUUUUCAGGUGUGCAGAAACCUUUCUUUUGCUAUGUUAUGACUCUUUUUGUUAAAUCCUGA
ensembl:lncRNA